rnacentral:misc_RNA from 1 species
AAGUCGUCCCCCAACCUGCGGUAACACGUAUCCAACGUUUAACCACCCGUGCACCUUCAUCGAAUACCCGUCGCUGCGCGAUUCUUGCGGCUGGACAAAGAGAGUUGAAGUCGCCUUGAGAGACCAAGUGGAGGGCAGUUCUGCGGUAGGUACCUGGGCGUGAACCAGCUCCGGUUUUCUCUCGAGAUUCUUUGCCUCGCGAAACCAAAGUUCUGGAAAUACUGUACUUCUUGGGAGAACGAUUGCCCACACUCUGGGGGCAAGUCUUGCCUUCGUCGGGUGGUCAUUGUGUCUUCGGGAAGUCGCGCUCUUUGCUGGUUCCAAGUUUAAACGGUUAAGUCGCGAGGUGUGGUGCCCCCCGUGGUUCAUAUUUACGCGGCAAAACUUGACAACUUUAACCAACGUCGGAAACCCUGAACAACUCUC